AUUGGAUCUGCUUCAAAGCGUUAAUUGAUCAAUUAUUUGAAACUUUGGCUUUAGAGCAAAAUUAGUACUUUUUUACAUUCAUAACAUGUUUUCACAAUAUUUUUUGGAAGAUUUAUAUUUCUAUUGAUUUUAUGAUGAACUAAGCUCAUAUUUAGAGCACAAUAAACCAUCUUUUAUGUUAAUGGCAUAGGGUCUGAUUUCUGAGACCAUGGCAAUAUUCCAUAAUUUUUAAUUUUGCAUAAAUGGAAGCAUUGCAGAAAUUUAAAAAGAGGCUUAACUAUUUUUCCUCAUCUUCUUCUCUUUCUUCCUCCUUAUUCCAG
rnacentral:misc_RNA from 1 species